ACGUCGUUGGUGCAGUGGUAAGCGUACGCCCCCUGGAAAGAGUGAGAUCUGGGUUCGAAUCCCGGCUGAUGCA